rnacentral:rRNA from 1 species
UACGUGGGGUGCAAACGUUGCUCGGAAUUAUUGGGCGUAAAAGCGCACGUAGGCGGCUCUCUAAGUCUCAUGUGAAAGCCCCAGGCUUAACCUGGGAAGUGCAUGCGAUACUGGAAAGCUUAGUACUAGAGGGGGUCGCGGAAUUCCCGGUGUAGAGGUGAAAAUUCGUAGAUAUCGGGAGGAACACCAGCGGCGAAGGCGGCGACCUGGAUAGAUACUGACGCUGAGGUGCGAAAAGCGUGGGGGAGCAAACAGGG